GAACGCUGGCGGCGUGCCUAAUACAUGCAAGUCGAACGGUCUUUCUAUGGAAGCUUGCUUCCACUGAGAAGAUAGUGGCGAACGGGUGAGUAACACGUGGGUAACCUGCCCAUAAGAGGGGGGAUAACAUCCGGAAACGGGUGCUAAUACCGCAUAGUUUUCUUGAUCGCAUGAUCGGGAAAGGAAAGACGGCCUUUGUGCUGUCGCUUAUGGAUGGACCCGCGGCGUAUUAGUUAGUUGGUGAGGUAACGGCUCACCAAGACGAUGAUACGUAGCCGACCUGAGAGGGUGAUCGGCCACUGGGACUGAGACACGGCCCAAACUCCUACGGGAGGCAGCAGUAGGGAAUCUUCCGCAAUGGACGAAAGUCUGACGGAGCAACGCCGCGUGAGUGAAGAAGGUUUUUCCGGAUCGUAAAACUCUGUUGUCAGAGAAGAACAAGUUGGAGAGUAACUGCUCCAGCCUUGACGGUAUCUGACCAGAAAGCCACGGCUAACUACGUGCCAGCCGCAGC
rnacentral:rRNA from 1 species